GCCGUUGCGCGGGAGAUAUGCGGUUUGUUUUGCUUCUCAAAUCAACAUUUUGUAUACGACAAUUAUAGCAAAAUAUGGUUGAUUAAAACGAAUCUGCUAACUUGUGGAGGGAAAAGUAGGUUUUCAAAAUGUAGUAUAAUUUUAAACAAUGUCCCACGUUGAUAAGAGCGAGCGAAGACGGCAAAAUGGCCAGGAAAGAGAUAGCAAUGGAAAUAUUGGGAAUGGAAAUACACACAAGACUCGAGCAGAAAGAUACCGCAAUAAUUAUACAAAUAACAAG
rnacentral:lncRNA from 1 species